UACACACCGCCCGUCACACCACGGGAGUCGAUUGGUCCCGAAGUGCGUGAGCUAACCCGCAAGGGAGGCAGCGUCCUAAGGAAGUGGUCGGUGACUGGGGUG
rnacentral:rRNA from 1 species